rnacentral:lncRNA from 1 species
GAAUAAACACUAGGUUAGUGUUGUUAAGUGGCGACCACUUGGCGAGCAUCCUUUGGUUUGGCACUCGUUCAAAUUAUCCAUCUUCCUGUUUGUCCAUCAGCAUCAUCCUGUGGAUUAGCCCACGCUUGGGGUCGACUUGGAUCAUCUUCUGCUUCACGCGAUUAUUUAUCAUACCUCAUGAGAUGCACGAUGCACAUGUAUGAGCAUGAAUAUAAUAUAGAUAAUCUACACUAAAAAGGAUGAAACACUAAAAACCAAGCAUUAAUAAUUAUGGAUAUCACAGCAGGGCAUCGACUACAUCUAUUAACCAAAUUGACAUAAUAACACUCGAACAUCUAUUUUUAUUCCCAGCUUUUUAUUAACUCUUUAAACUGUGUAUCUUAAUUACAUGAUUUACCGAUUAACCUGUGCAUCAUAUAUAUAUUAAUAUAACUUCCCAUUUUUAACACGUACAAUCCCGCAAACACUGAGACCUAUGGAGAUCUUUUUCAUCCUACGACAUCGACCAAAUUACUAAAACGACUCAGGCAAUCUAAUAAAUAUUAAACCAAGUCAGACCAUCCACCAACCCACUAACACGAAUAACAAAUUUACUUACCCUGACUAAUUCGACGCGAUAGUCGCAAGCACGAUGCCGGUUUUCAGUUGAUGUCUUCGAUCACACACGUCUGGCGAGCGAUGCACACAAUUUCUACUCUUGACCAGAUACUCAUGGAAUUCCUUUUUGUCGAGCUAGUGACACAUGGCCAACACCAGAGUGUCUUCAUGGCUUGGGGGGCUUGGGGUGGACGAGUAUGACGCUCGACGACUUGUUCGAGCUUUUUGUCACGCACUCGAUGAACACCAUGCUGCUGGCUCCGUCUUCACCUGACGCUUGGGAUUUCUUGCUGACGCAUGAAACGAUGACAAGAUUGUGUUUGGAACGAGCUGGUGAGGUGGGGGUCGAGCAGGGGAUGACGGGUUUGACGACUCGACGCUAAACACGAACACGCCAAAACCCGAUGGAUGAGGAGUGAGCGCAUGCGGGGCGAGCAGCACGGAUUUGAAGCGUAGAGAAAUCGCCCACGGUGAGACGAACAGAACAAGGAGUGCUUGUGAACUCAAUGGUGGAAUCGGCGGUAGCCGAUGCCAGAGCGCACGGCGAGGGAGUUUCGCAGUUCGUCG